CUGACAUCACAUCAGAGUUAGAACUCUGAGAUACCAUUGAAAAUACGUGGUGAGAUUUUGAAAACAGCUAUGUUUUCAGAUGCAUUUAUAAUAAUUGCUUUUGACUACAGAUUAUAGGUCUCAGUGGGUUGUUCUUCUGAAGCAUUUUUGGGGCAGUAAUAGACAUGCUGAAAAAGGCAAUUGAGACACUGCUUAUGUGCAGCCCUAAAGAUCUCUGACCAAUAACCUGAACAAAGAACAGAAGUUGAUUGACUGUAUGUGACUUUGGAAAUACUUGCUAUGGGCUAAGAGUGUCCAUUUAAACAUGUCUGUAUAAGCAGAUACAGGCACUUAUGUACCAGCUCUUCCAACAUUCUGGGUUGGCCAGUCACGAAUCAUCUCUGGACCAGGUGACAAAACCUGAUCAUUCCCCUUUA
rnacentral:lncRNA from 1 species